UACGAAGGGUGCAAACGUUGCUCGGAAUCAUUGGGCGUAAAGCGCACGUAGGCGGCUUGCCAAGUCGGACGUGAAAUCCCUCAGCUCAACUGAGGACGUGCAUCCGAAACUGGCGAGCUUGAGUACUGAAGAGGAUCGCGGAAUUCCCGGUGUAGAGGUGAAAUUCGUAGAUAUCGGGAGGAACACCAGUGGCGAAGGCGGCCGGCUGGGGGUGACCUGACGCUGAGGCGCGAAAGCGUGGGGAGCGAACCGG
rnacentral:rRNA from 1 species